rnacentral:lncRNA from 1 species
CCCCCCUAUAAAAGGGCAUUGGGGAGGCUCUUGGGUCUCACCCUUGCUGCCUGUUGUUUGCGCUUCUUCCUUCGCCCACUCGCAUUCGCUCUAGUUGCGUAUAGCUCUUAAGUGUUUGCGGAGGAUAUAAAGUGGCUCAUUUUCCUUCGCCUCGUCCUUCAAGGUCAGAUUUUUCUGGUCCUUUGCGUAAUUUUCUUAGUGUGAGGUCCGGUGGUUGGUUGCGAAGGUUUGAGGAGUGGAUGCUUGAGGUGGCAGCAGCUCAAGACCUGGAGGAGACGUUGUCCGACGUCGAAGCUUCUGUUGGUGAUCUGAUCAGCGCGAAGGAGUUUGAGGAGAUGGCUGCAAUUACCUUUGAGUUUGGGGAGUCAACAGUGAGGACGGAGGAUAUCGCUGACAUGGUUGAAGCGCGGUUUUUCAAGGAUGGCCGCGCGAAGGCUCCUCCUGUGGGUCAGACGGUGCCUGCGCCUGAAGAGGGUUAUGCUGUUGUAUUCAGAGACUUUUUUACCUGCGGACUUCGGAUGCCUCCGUAUCAUUUCCUUCG